GGUGGUCUAAGUGGUUAGGGCUUCCGCCUCGGAUGCUGAAGGUUGUUGGUUCGAACUCAGGCUGAUCCA